GGCUGUUCUGAAGGUAGUGAGUUAUCUCAAUUGAUAGCUCUUAGUUACAGAUUGAACUCCUUGUUCUACUCUUUUUCUCCUUCUCACUACUGCACUUGACUGGUCUAAA
rnacentral:Y_RNA from 1 species